rnacentral:rRNA from 1 species
UUUCUAAGAGUCGAGUUGUUUGGGAUUGCAGCUCAAAAUGGGAGGUAAAUUCCUCCUAAGGCUAAAUAUUGGCGAGAGACCGAUAGCGAACAAGUACCGUGAGGGAAAGAUGAAAAGAACUUUGAAAAGAGAGUUAAACAGUACGUGAAAUUGUUGAAAGGGAAACGAUUGAAGUCAGUCGUACUAACGGGAAAUCAACCUAUUUUGAGUUGUGAAUUUUGGAUUUUGAAGAGUGUAAACCUUCUGGUUCAAAUAUUCGCGCUUUUUGGGCGUAAUUUCUCGUUCGGUAGGUUAACAUCGAUUUUGAAUAUUAUAAAAUGACUGGAGGAAUGUAGCUUCGAUCUCGUAUUGAAGUGUUAUAGCCUUUGGUAGAUGUAAUGAUCAAGAUCGAGGAUUGCAACGAAUACCCUUUGGGCUAUCCGUCUGAUCUCUGAUACGUUGCCUUGGUAACGAAAGCUUGCUUACGGUAUUGAGGUAUAACGGUCAAAAGGUUAGAACGUGAUUACAUUCGUU